CCCUUAGAUGUUCUGGGCUGCACGCGCGCUAAACUGAUGCAUCCAGCGAGUUGUAACCUUGCUUGGUAAAGUUUGGUAAUCUGAGGCUAAUGUGCAUCGUGAUGGGAAUAGAGUUUUGCAACUAUUAGUCUUGAACGAGGAAUUCCUCGUAAGCACGAGUCAUCAGCUUGCAUUGAUUACGUCCCUGCCCUUUGUACACACCGCCCGUCGCACCUACCGAUUGAAUGGUCCGGUGAAAUCCUCGGAUCGAGCCGUGGGGCAACUCCGGUUCGAGAAGUUGAUUAAACCUUACCAUUUAGAGGAAGGUGAAGUCGUAACA
rnacentral:rRNA from 1 species